CCUACGGGAGGCAGCAGUGAGGAAUAUUGGUCAAUGGACGCAAGUCUGAACCAGCCAUGCCGCGUGCAGGAAGACGGCGCUAUGAGUUGUAAACUGCUUUUGUAAGGGGAUAAACGCAGACACGCGUACCUGUCUGAAAGUAUCUUAAGAAUAAGGAUCGGCUAACUCCGUGCCAGCAGCCGCGGUAAUACGGAGGAUUCAAGCGUUAUCCGGAUUUAUUGGGUUUAAAGGGUGCGUAGGCGGUCUGAUAAGUUAGGGGUGAAAUCCCGAGGCUCAACCUCGGAGUUGCCUCUGAUACUGGUCGGCUAGAGAGUAGUUGCGGUAGGCGGAAUGUGUGGUGUAGCGGUGAAAUGCUUAGAUAUCAUACAGAACACCGAUUGCGAAGGCAGCUUACCAAGCUACAUCUGACGUUGAGGCACGAAAGCGUGGGGAGCAAACAGGAUUAGAUACCCUAGUAGUC
rnacentral:rRNA from 1 species